CGUCCACCGAACGUAGCUUUCUGUUCGCUUAUAUAACGACAUACAUAUAUAUGCGCGUUUUAAGUUUGAAGUCACACAUCGCAUGUCAAUGACUCAAGACCUUCGGAGCUUAGUGCGCAAUGGACAGGCAACAGAAAAACUGAUUGUGUUCCUAUAUCGUACGAAUUCCUGGUAGUGUAAACCGACGUAGAAAAAGAAGACGGCGAAAUUAUCUUUCGAUAACUAAACUUAUUAUGACCGAGACUGAUUCGCGAAUACUUUUUACUAUUAAAAUAUUGCAACCUGUUAUUCAUGUUGUGAAUAUUAAUAACGAAAUUUCAUUCUUUUAUAUUUUCUGUAAUUUUUUCGACCGUAAUUUUAAUAAAAUACAAGGAAAAUCGUUACA
rnacentral:misc_RNA from 1 species